rnacentral:misc_RNA from 1 species
UUAAGUUCAGCGGGUAUCCCCGCCUGAUCCGAGGCCAAACUUUGGUUGUGUGUUUUCGACGCAGGGUGUUACCCCCACAUCUAGACGACGGCCGUCCACCGAGUAAGCCCACAGAGCGAUUGACUUGCGUCUUGCUACGCUCGUGGUCCGACGGCGGCGCCCACGCGUUCCAGACCUGUCCUUUCACAGACAGCGUCCAA